AUUGAACGCUGGCGGCAGGCCUAACACAUGCAAGUCGAACGGUAACAGGAAACAGCUUGCUGUUUCGCUGACGAGUGGCGGACGGGUGAGUAAUGUCUGGGAAACUGCCUGAUGGAGGGGGAUAACUACUGGAAACGGUAGCUAAUACCGCAUAACGUCGCAAGACCAAAGAGGGGGACCUUCGGGCCUCUUGCCAUCGGAUGUGCCCAGAUGGGAUUAGCUAGUAGGUGGGGUAACGGCUCACCUAGGCGACGAUCCCUAGCUGGUCUGAGAGGAUGACCAGCCACCCUGGAACUGAGACACGGUCCAGACUCCUACGGGAGGCAGCAGUGGGGAAUAUUGCACAAUGGGCGCAAGCCUGAUGCAGCCAUGCCGCGUGUAUGAAGAAGGCCUUCGGGUUGUAAAGUACUUUCAGCGGGGAGGAAGGGAGUAAAGUUAAUACCUUUGCUCAUUGACGUUACCCGCAGAAGAAGCACCGGCUAACUCCGUG
rnacentral:rRNA from 1 species